GAGGGUUUGUUUCUUUGCUCACAUCAGCUCGUGAUGUGAUGAGCUUUAGCAAUGGGUGUUCGUGUCGCUCUGGUAGGCCGAGGGGUGUGGUGGAGGGGGGUAUUUAUGCACCUCACCUCGGAGUAGGAAGUCAUUGGUAGAAGGCGGCACCACUGAGUGCGGACGUGCGUGGAGUUCUGCUGAUCGCGGCGCCACACUUUAGAAGCGAGAUUCAGUCAAUACCAGACGUGGAGGACAGGUGGUGGUGGUGAUGAUGGUGCCGGCUCUCCGUAUUAGUGAUGCUAACACGAGAAGACGACUGCUAAUUCUCAGGUCUUCAGUUCGGCAUCUUGAACAAGUUUAUCAUAUAUCUUCAACAUUCCGCACUGAGAAUACCAACAUGGCACGCCAGUGAUCUAUCUUAGAUCAUUUCAUCUAUUACUUUCGAAAAUUUGGCAACAGCAAGCUGACUGCAGACUAUCACAAUCCUUGAACAGAAGAUUCGUCAGGGACAAUUAUGUUUUCCUC